rnacentral:misc_RNA from 1 species
UUGAAUACAUUUUGGGUUGGUUGUUGCUGGCUCUUAGGGGGCAUGUGCACACCAACUCCAAUUUUCAACCCCCUGUGCACCCUUGCAUGGAUCUGAAAGUUUUGAGGAGACUCAGUUUGAGAAUUGUUGUGCGAGAGAGCCAACUUUUUCUUGUCUUUAGAUCUGUGUUUUCACACACAACCAAUGAUAUAUUUGAAUGUAACAAAUAUAGGCUUUUGUGCCUUUAAAAAAAUAACAUAAGUA